ACACCUCAACUCUCACAGUUUUCUGUGAUGAGCUUGGACUGUGGGGGUUUGUUGGACUUUGGUCAACUCCUCUCAAAUGAAUCAGCUUGCCGGGGUUUGGUGGCAUCACAGGUGUGAUAACUAUCUACGCUUGUUGCUGUUGACCAGGUACCCUCCAAUUUCGGGGGUCCUCUGCAGCUUAUAAAUGUCUCUCCUCAGUGAAGACAACCAUUUAAA
rnacentral:misc_RNA from 1 species